rnacentral:rRNA from 1 species
CCUACGGGGGGCAGCAGUGAGGAAUAUUGGUCAAUGGCCGAGAGGCUGAACCAGCCAAGUCGCGUGAGGGAAGACGGCCCUACGGGUUGUAAACCUCUUUUGUCGGGGAGCAAAGCGAGUCACGUGUGACUCAUUUAGAGUACCCGAAGAAAAAGCAUCGGCUAACUCCGGGCCCGCCGCCGCGGUAAUACGGGGGAUGCGAGCGUUAUUCGGAUUUAAUGGGUUUAAAGGGUGCGCAGGCGGAGGUGCAAGUCAGCGGUAAAAUUGCGGGGCUCAACCCCGUACUGCCGUUGAAACUGCAUCCCUUGAGUGCGCGAGAAGUAUGCGGAAUGCGUGGUGUAGCGGUGAAAUGCAUAGAUAGCACGCAGAACUCCGAUUGCGAAGGCAGCAUACCGGCGCGCAACUGACGCUCAUGCACGAAAGCGUGGGUAUCGAACAGGAUUAGAUACCCUUGUAGUC